AUCCCAAUGAGAAUGCUCUUUGCAAAUCUUUACCAUUCUCGCUACUCUUUCAUUGGCUAAAGCAAGUCACAUGGUGUAGCAGGCAGCUUCUGAAACGGCUCUCAGUGAUUUUUGCCUUCUGGCAUUCCUGCCAUCAUAUAAUCUUCUCCCCUUGCAUGGAGCUGGACCUAGCAACUUGCUUCUAAUGAGUAGAAUAUGACAAAAUUGAUGGAAUAUCACUCCUGAGAAUAAGUUAUAAAGGAUUGUGGUGCUCUCUCUGACUCUUCUUAAAGACAUACUUGUUCUGAUAAAGCAAGCUGCCACGUGUGAACUGUCCUAUGGAGAGGUCCAUGGAGAUCCUAACAACCGAUGAAAAACAACAGUUCCCUAAGGAACUGAAUCUUGCUAACAUACAGUGAGUGAGUGAGCUUGGAAGCAGACCCUUCCCUGGUUGAACCUUUAGAUGGGAAAGCAGCCUUGGCCCAUAUUUUCAUUGCAGCUUUGUGAGAGACUUAGAAGCCGAGGACCUACUGAAGUUACAUCUGGGUUCCUGACUCACAGAAACUGUGUGUUCUUUUAAUUUGGGAGUGAUUUGUUACAGAGCAAUAGAUAACUAAUACACACAGCUAAGCUCAGAGUCAGUGCGGGAGGUGACUAUCCAAGGGUACAGUUAUAAGAACAGUAAUUAUAUGAAUUAUUUAUACAUGCUUGCAAACAAUUUACCAAAGAUGAAUCUUUUCCAGCCCUUUAGAACCUGAGAUGAAAUUAUUUUCACUAUUUCAACAAUUAUUUAUUCUCUGCACUAAAUAUUGAAAACAAGAUGGAAAUGUUCCUGUCCUCAAACAGUGUACAGUUUGUGUCGGGGAAGGGACAUAGGGAAAGAUAUUAAUUGAAGAAUUCCUUCUUUAAUUUUUGUUUACAAUUGGGAUAAGUGACCUGAAUGGACAGCAUGUAUAGCUCAGUCUGGACUAGUCAGAGAAAAUGGCACUUAAUCUGAAGAGGUAGAUGGGGGAUUAAGAGUCAGGGACAGAGGAAAAUUCCAGGCAGAGGGAGUAGUAUUCUUUAUUAUAUUAUAUUUUAUUUUAUUUUAUUAUUAUUUUUUUGAGACGGAGCUUUACUCUGUCAUCCAGGCAGUGCAGUGGUGCAAUCUCAGCUCACUGCAACCUCUGCCUCCCGGGUUCAAGUGGUUCUGGAGUCUCACUCUGUGGCCCAGGGUGGAGUGUAGCAGUGCGAUCUCAACUCACUGCAACCUCCACCUCCCGGGUUUAAGUGAUUCUCCUGCCUCAGCCUCCUGAGUAGACAGGAUUACAGGUGUGCACCACCAUGCCCGGCUAAUUUUUGUAUUUUUAGUAGAGAUGGGGUUUCACCAUGUUGGCCAGGCUGGUCUCGAACUCCUGACCUCAGGUGAUCCAUCCGCCUUGGCCUCCCAAAGUGUUGGGAUUACAGGCAUGAGCCACUGCGCCUGGCAGGGAGUAGCAUUCUUAAAGGGGAGCUGGAGAGGUGGUCAGCAGCUACAGGACAAGUUCAUAUUUAUGAUCAAAUUGUAU
rnacentral:lncRNA from 1 species